rnacentral:lncRNA from 1 species
CUCUGUCCCUUUAUCUCAUCUUUGGCUAGUAAGGCGUGACAAGCACAUGUAUGCGCUCAGAGUGACACAGCUACUAAACGCAGAGGUGCCUGUCCCCAGCCGCCACACCAUCCAGCCCUGAAUGACAGAGAUGGAGCAGCCCUGGGAGGGCCAGUGAAGAGCGCUCCUGCUGGAGAGAGGAGAGGGGACAACAGCGGGAGCCAGGCUGACUGGUCCUCAGCUCCAUUCCGGUGCCAAUUGGAAGAUCCACUGGCCAGCCAUAAAUGAAACAUCCCUCUGAACACCCCUUCACGCUUGAUGAGUUGCUACAAAGACUCUCAGAGCCUAGACUUUGCUUAUCGUGGACACCCAGAAACAAUCCACUUCAACUUCUGAACAUUCGGUUUAGAACACUUAUUUGAUGAAUAUUCAGUCACACGCUUGGAUACAAGAUCUUGCCAGAAGGUCAGAUCUCUGCCAUUUAUCUUGAAAUGUUUCUGAAGACAUUCUUUUCCUCCCGUUAUCUCUCCACACUUCCAUGCUCGGAUGUGCAAUGCAAUGAUAAACAAGGCCA